rnacentral:rRNA from 1 species
CCUACGGGAGGCAGCAGUGAGGAAUAUUGGUCAAUGGACGAGAGGCUGAACCAGCCAAGUCGCGUGAAGGAAGACGGCCCUAUGGGUUGUAAACCUCUUUUGUCGGGGAGCAAAGCGAGUCACGUGUGACUCAUUGAAAGUACCCGAAGAAAAAGCAUCGGCUAACUCCGUGCCAGCAGCCGCGGUAAUACGGAGGAUGCGAGCGUUAUCCGGAUUUAUUGGGUUAAAGGGGUGCGUAGGCGGAGUGGAAAGUCAGUGGUAAAAUGGCGGGGCUCACCCCCGGACUGCCGUUGAAACUGGAUGCCUUGAGUGCGCGAGAAGUAUGCGGAAUGCGUGGUGUAGCGGUGAAAUGCAUAGAGAUCACGCAGAACUCCGAUUGCGAAGGCAGCUUACCGGCGCGCAACUGACGCUCAUGCACGAAAGCGUGGGUAUCAAACAGGAUUAGAUACCCCUGUAGUC